UACAGAGGUCCCAAGCGUUGUUCGGAUUCACUGGGCGUAAAGGGUGCGUAGGUGGCAUGGUAAGUCGGAUGUGAAAUCUCCGAGCUCAACUCGGAAAUGGCAUUGGAAACUGCCGUGCUCGAGGGUUGGAGGGGGGACUGGAAUGCUUGGUGUAGCAGUGAAAUGCGUAGAUAUCAAGCGGAACACCAGUGGCGAAGGCGAGUCCCUGGACAACUCCUGACACUGAGGCACGAAAGCUAGGGGAGCAAACAGG
rnacentral:rRNA from 1 species